CCGGGAGACCCGCAGCAGCUGCAGGAGAGUGUGUUUAUCGAGACGAGCAGAACCGGGUCGGUCCAGACCCAACCGGGACAUGACGCUCUGGCCGGGAAGAACUAUUUGAUAUCAGAGCGGCGGUAACUCAUCAGCACUACCAGCAUUACGACCAGGAAUACAACUUUCCCGAAUCGGAUCCAUUGUUCGUUUUCCAGAGGCCGAUCCAAAACAGCGCCGGCGGAGGAGAGGUACUCCGCGUGGUCUUCUAAACUGACUUAGCAGCCUGCAGUAAUGCCGCCACAGACGUGGUGUUCCUAAACAAUGGUUCUAAGAGUGUGCAUCCAGAGAACCUUGCAGCUGGUCAAGAAGUGGAUCAACCAGAUCGUGUCUCCGAGACCAGGGCUCAUGUUGGACUGGUCCAGUACUCCAGCUCUGUCAAACAGUCCUGGCUACGUCCAUCGGUGAACACAAUGCCGACCUUGGCCACCCCGGGCCGUGCCCCACCGGCUGGUGCAAAGCUGCUGUCGGUCA